ACCUAAACCCGACCGAAGUGGAAAACCCGCAGCGAGGUACGAGCGAGGAUUUGGAACAAAGGGCGGGAGGAUAC
rnacentral:sRNA from 1 species